rnacentral:rRNA from 1 species
CCCUUAGAUGUUCUGGGCCGCACACGCGCUACACUGAAGGAGGCAGCGUGUACUCCUGGAUCGAAAGAUUUGGGUAACCCGCGAAUCUCCUUCGUGCUAGGGAUUGAGGUUUGCAAUUAUCCUUCAUGAACGAGGAAUUCCCAGUAAGUGCAAGUCAUAAGCUUGCGCUGACUACGUCCCUGCCCUUUGUACACACCGCCCGUCGCUACUACCGAUUGAGUGAUCCGGUGAAUUAUUCGGACUGUAACGCAUUCAGUUCUGGAUGCAGUUACGGGAAGUUUUGUGAACCUUACCACUUAGAGGAAGGAGAAGUCGUAACA